UACGUAGGGUGCAAGCGUUGUCCGGAAUUAUUUGGGCGUAAAGAGUUCGUAGGCGGUUUGUCGCGUCCGUUGUGAAAGCUUGGGGCUCAAACCCCAAGUCUGCAGUUGGAUAACGGGCAGACUAGAGUCAGGUAGGGGAGAACGGAAUUCCGUGGUGUAGCGGUGAAAUGCGCAGAUAUCAAGGAGGAACACCGGUGGCGAAGGCGGUUCUCUGGGCCUGAUGACUGACGCUGGAGGAACGAAAGCGUGGGGAGCGAACAG
rnacentral:rRNA from 1 species